rnacentral:rRNA from 1 species
AGUGAACGCUGGCGGUAGGCCUAACACAUGCAAGUCGAACGGCAGCACAGUAAGAGCUUGCUCUUACGGGUGGCGAGUGGCGGACGGGUGAGGAAUACAUCGGAAUCUACUUUUUCGUGGGGGAUAACGUAGGGAAACUUACGCUAAUACCGCAUACGACCUACGGGUGAAAGCAGGGGAUCUUCGGACCUUGCGCGAUUGAAUGAGCCGAUGUCGGAUUAGCUAGUUGGCGGGGUAAAGGCCCACCAAGGCGACGAUCCGUAGCUGGUCUGAGAGGAUGAUCAGCCACACUGGAACUGAGACACGGUCCAGACUCCUACGGGAGGCAGCAGUUGGGAAUAUUGGACAAUGGGCGCAAGCCUGAUCCAGCCAUACCGCGUGGGUGAAGAAGGCCUUCGGGUUGUAAAGCCCUUUUGUUGGGAAAGAAAAGCAGCAGGUUAAUACCCCGCUGUUCUGACGGUACCCAAAGAAUAAGCACCGGCGAACUGCGU